UGCCCUAAGCUUCAUACUCACUUAUUCUUGGACUAAACCAUUCAUUUAGUCCUUAGUUUAUUUAUGCAGUCAAGUGUGUAUGGGGUGCUUAUAAGUGCAGCUGCUGUAAGAAAAAGGUAAACUUGAUCGCAGUAUAGCCGACCCCCUUCUCCCUGGAGUCGAGGAGUCAGAGAAAGACGGAGGUGAUGGAUGCAUCAACAUACGGGGACACAGUGCUGUUGGGGGGAGGCUGAGGCUUGGUCACCAGACCAAGGUGACAACAUGAAUGAGGCCUGGAAGCAGAGCCCUGGGGUGUGAGGGCUCCCACCAUGAUCAAUGUGAUGUAAAGUUCGAGGCGGGAAGUGGUGAGAAGCCAGGAAGAAAAGGAACUGGGGCCAACUCUGAAAGAGCGGAGAAUUUACCCCACAGGUGA
rnacentral:lncRNA from 1 species